rnacentral:rRNA from 1 species
AGUGAACGCUGGCGGUAGGCCUAACACAUGCAAGUCGAACGGCAGCACAGGAGAGCUUGCUCUCUGGGUGGCGAGUGGCGGACGGGUGAGGAAUACAUCGGAAUCUACUCUGUCGUGGGGGAUAACGUAGGGAAACUUACGCUAAUACCGCAUACGACCUACGGGUGAAAGCAGGGGACCUUCGAGCCUUGCGCGAUUGAAUGAGCCGAUGUCGGAUUAGCUAGUUGGCGGGGUAAAGGCCCACCAAGGCGACGAUCCGUAGCUGGUCUGAGAGGAUGAUCAGCCACUCUGGAACUGGGACACGGUCCAGACUCCUACGGGAGGCAGCAGUGGGGAAUAUUGGACAAUGGGCGCAAGCCUGAUCCAGCCAUACCGCGUGGGUGAAGAAGGCCUUCGGGUUGUAAAGCCCUUUUGUUGGGAAAGAAAUCCAGCUGGCUAAUACCCGGUUGGGAUGACGGUACCCAAAGAAUAAGCACCGGCUAACUUCGUGCCAGCCGCCGCAGUAA